rnacentral:snRNA from 1 species
GGAUGUGAGUGCAAUCUGACUGCAACAUCUGGUUACCCCAUUGAUCACUAGGAUUGAUUUGGCUGAUCUGGCUGGCUAGGUGGGUGUCCCCUUCCUCACCGCCCCACAUGUGUCACUCCCUAAAUUGCACCUUCAGUCAAAGAAGAUGGCCUUCCUCAAAUAGAGAUGGACCAGUCUUCAGUCCGGAGUAUAUGAGUAGCUGUGCUCCCCUGCUAGAAGCUCCAAACAAUUUCUCAAAGAGAAUGGGUAUGACUUAGCACUACCAAAUUUGAAUAAAUGUUUAUACGUAUAGCCACAUUAAAUU